AACGAACGCUGGCGGCAGGCCUAACACAUGCAAGUCGAACGGCAGCGCGGGUGCUUGCACCUGGUGGCGAGUGGCGAACGGGUGAGUAAUAUAUCGGAACGUACCUUAUUGUGGGGGAUAACGCAGCGAAAGCUGUGCUAAUACCGCAUAAUCCCUAAGGGGGAAAGCGGGGGACCGUAAGGCCUCGCGCAAUAAGAGCGGCCGAUACCUGAUUAGCUAGUUGGGGAGGUAAAGGCUCACCAAGGCAACGAUCAGUAGCUGGUCUGAGAGGACGAUCAGCCACACUGGGACUGAGACACGGCCCAGACUCCUACGGGAGGCAGCAGUGGGGAAUUUUGGACAAUGGGGGCAACCCUGAUCCAGCAAUGCCGCGUGAGUGAAGAAGGCCUUCGGGUUGUAAAGCUCUUUUGUCAGGGAAGAAACAGCAGCUCUAACACAGUUUGCGAAUGACGGUACCUGAAGAAUAAGCACCGGCUAACUACGUGCCAGCAGCCGCAGUAA
rnacentral:rRNA from 1 species